rnacentral:rRNA from 1 species
GACGAACGCUGGCGGCGUGCUUAACACAUGCAAGUCGAACGGUAAGGCCCUUCGGGGUACACGAGUGGCGAACGGGUGAGUAACACGUGGGUGAUCUGCCCUGCACUUCGGGAUAAGCCUGGGAAACUGGGUCUAAUACCGGAUAGGACCACUGCCUGCAUGGGUGGUGGUGGAAAGCUUUUGCGGUGUGGGAUGGGCCCGCGGCCUAUCAGCUUGUUGGUGGGGUGAUGGCCUACCAAGGCGACGACGGGUAGCCGGCCUGAGAGGGUGACCGGCCACACUGGGACUGAGAUACAGCCAGACUCCUACGGGAGGCAGCAGUGGGGAAUAUUGCACAAUGGGCGCAAGCCUGAUGCAGCGACGCCGCGUGAGGGAUGCCGGCCUUCGGGUUGUAAACCUCUUUCAGCACCGACGAAGCGCAAGUGACGGUAGGUGCAGAAGAAGGACCGGCCAACUACGUGCCAGCAGCCGCCGUAA